AGACGUGUGUCUUCCGUUAUCUAGGGUGCGUGCGGCCCCGGACAUCUAAGGGCAUCACAGACCUGGUAUCGCUCCGCCUCGUGCGGCUUUCUGCCGCCUGUCCCUCUAAGAAGCGCUGCGUUCGCCAACCGACUGGCCCGGACGCGACGGCGUGCCGCCGCCGGGCUCGCGCG